CGGCAGCUCUUUUCACUCGGAUCGUCCGGCACGUUCCUGCCGGUGAAAGGAAGCGGUG
rfam:Asanoa hainanensis strain CGMCC 4.5593 genome assembly, contig: Ga0104436_113